CACUCAAAACUCAAGGUCUCUCCAGCAUAGUAUAGCAUAUAACCCCCAGGUAGUUGCAUUUUUCUGUGAUUCUGGCUCCAACCUGCGACUUUAUAUUGUCAUAAAAGUCUAGGAUCUCAACACUUGAAGUCUCCCCAAGCCAGUCGUUGAAGAUUCGGUCCAUCCACGAUAAAGAAGGAAACCAGAGGACCACAAUGUGCCUUAAUUCCUGCGCCAUCUUUCAUACCUAGGAUUGGCUGCCCAACGUACCCAGGGCAAACAUAUUUGGCCAAGCAAAAUCGGUAACUAACAGCAUUUUUAGAACCCCA
rnacentral:sRNA from 2 species